AUGGUCAUCUCACCACCCCAUGUCAACAAGCACCUCAAACGCUCGUUCGAGCUUGUCGUGAACAACUUCCUCGUCGUCAUCGCCGCACCACUGGCAGCCAUCGCCGUUCUCCGUGAAGCCGCACAGCUCGGACCCGAGGAGAUCCUCUCCCGGCUCCAUGGCUUCCGGCAAGUUCAUGUCUUCUUGGCCGUCUUUCUCCCGUUCGCCUUGGCCACCUUCUACCUCAUGAGUCGCCCUCGCAGCCUCUACCUCGUCGACUACUCUUGCUGCAGGCCUAAAUCUAAUUGCCGUGUCUCCAUAGGAUCCUUGGUGGAGAACGUUCGCUUCUUGCCAUACCUCGAUGAUGGCGGUUGCAACUUCAUGACGCGCAUGCUCAAGCGCUCGGGCCUCGGUGACCAGACCUACCUCCACCCUUCGUUGCACUAUAUCCCCCCGCGCUGCUGCUUAAGUGGAAGCCGCGACGAGGCGGAGCAGGUGAUCUUUGCAGCCGUCGACGAUCUGUUCGCCAAGACGGGCAUAAGUCCUGGUGCCACCGACAUAAUCGUCACCAACUGCAGUGUCUUCUGCCCGACCCCGAGCUUGGCAGACAUGGUCGUGAACAAGUAUAAACUCAGAGCGGACAUCCGUAGCGUGCACAUAUCUGGGAUGGGGUGCAGCGCGGGGGUGAUCUCCCUGGAGGUCGCGAGGAACCUCCUGCAGGCGGCGCCACGGGGCGCCCUGAUGGUGUCCACGGAGACCACCUCUCUCCUCAACUAUACCGGCAAGAACCGGGCGAUGCUGCUGCCAGCCGCCCUGUUCCGCAUGGGUGCGGCCGCGGUGCUGUUGUCAACGUCCAGGUCCGUGUCCCGCUUCCGGCUCACGCACAUCGAGCGAACGCUCACCGCCGCGCAAGACAGGGCUUACCUGUGCUUGUCCAUGAAAGAGGACGACGAGGGAGAAACAGGAGCAUACCUGUCCAAGGACCUUGUGGCAGCCGCCGGCGAAGCGCUCACGGCUAACAUCACGGCAAUAGGGCCCCUCGUCCUCCCGCCCUCGGAGAAGCUGCUGUUUGCGAUCUCGUUCAUUGCACGGAAGGUGCUGAGGAGAAAGAUCAAGCUAUAUGUCCCUAAUUUCCGCACGGCCUUCCAGCACUUCUGCAUCCAUUCUGGUGGCCGGGCAGUGAUCGACGCGGUGCAAACUAGCUUGUGCUUAUCAGAUGAAGACGUGGAGCCAUCACGAAUGACGCUUCACCGAUUCGGAAACACGUCCAGCAGUUCAUUGUGGUACGAGCUUUCAUACAUGGAGGCCAAGAGGCGGACGCGCAAGGGCGAUCGGGUAUGGAUGGUCGGGUUUGGUUCUGGUUUCAAGUGCAACAGCGCCGUUUGGCAGUGCAUCAGGUCUCCCGGCAACACAACUGUUGGUGCGCCAUGGGCUGAUUCUAUUCAUCUGUAUCCUCUGAACAUCUCGGAAGUACGCUAA
rnacentral:rRNA from 1 species